GUUGUUAUUAUUGUUGUGAAACUUGUUCAGGAAAAGUCAGGCAAAGAAGUCGAUUUGUAUUCCAGCAGCAUCAUCACCAAGCAGUAGACAAAGUGAGGAAGUAGUUCCCUCUGAUCUAUGGGCUUUUGUAAGAGUUCAUUGAGUUGAUGGUUUUAUCUGUAAAAUGGGUGCAAUUAAUGAAAGACAGGGACAAUGAAGAAGGUAAGGGGUAUGUUUUUGUGGCUUUCAAAACAAAAGAGGUUGCACAAAACGCCAUAGAAGAGAUACACAAUAAGAAAUAUAAGGGUAAAACUUUGAGGUGUUCACUAUCUGAGAAUAGUCGAGGGUGUUGGUCCUGGAGUUGA